AUGCAAAACUAUAAGUGUUAAUGCACCGGAUCCCAUUAGAACUCCACAGUUAAGCAUGCUCAGGCUAGAGUAGUACUGGGAUGGGUGACCGCCCGGGAAGUCCUAGUGUUUUACAUG
rnacentral:rRNA from 1 species